AGGGAAGGGAAAGGAAGGGAAGAGAACUGAAAAGAAGAGAAAAGAACUGAAGAGAAAAGAAGAGAAGAGAAGAGAAGAGACGAACUCUCCCAUUGAUCCUAAAUGAUAAAAGUCCCAAUCUUUAUAUAUAUAUAUAUUGUGGUGAUCAGAACUGGAUUCAGUAUUCCAAGUAUGGCCCUACUAAGGAUACAGGCAAAGCAUUGGUGAGAUUUCUGUUUUCGUUUUCACCAUAUUGAGAAUCCUUCAUGACAUCAGAAGUUGACCAGAUAUCAGAAGAUGGCCUCAAUGGAUUCAAGAACAUUGCUUUUCCAAAGUACUUGGUCACACUGUGAGAGUUUACAGCUGAUCCUAACAAAGGUAAUACGAUAUUAUACCUCCCUGCUACGGAAUGGAUUGAAAAGUAAUCCUGGCAACGCUGUCAAAUUAUACAGGGAUUCAGAACUGGAGAUUUUAAAAGAAAAUUUUCCAGAUUCUCCCUCCAUGGAUGAAUCUACUAUACGGUCAGCCCAGCUCCCUCUGUUAUAAUCGGGAUUUACCAGUGAAGUCUUUUCCUGGCUAACUGUGAUAACUUUGUGGUGAUGUCUGGCAAACUUCCAAUGGAAGACAAGGAAAAGAAGGUUGAUCUUUUUAUGAUACAGAAACAUCAGUGGGAAAAGUCAUCUGAAAUAAAGUAGCAGAACUAAAACAUU